rnacentral:rRNA from 1 species
GAUGAACGCUAGCUACAGGCUUAACACAUGCAAGUCGAGGGACCGGCGCACGGGUGAGUAACACGUAUCCAACCUGCCCUUUACUCGGGGAUAGCCUUUCGAAAGAAAGAUUAAUACCCGAUGUAAAGGAUGGGGAUGCGUUCAAUUAGGUUGUUGGUGAGGUAACGGCUCACCAAGCCUUCGAUGGAUAUGGUUUCUGAGAGGAAGGUCCCCCACAUUGGAACUGAGACACGGUCCAAACUCCGACGGGAGGCAGCAGUGAGGAAGAUUGGUCAAUGGGCGUUAGCCUGAACCAGCCAAGUAGCGUGAAGUAUGAAGGCUUAUGGGUCGUAAACUUCUUUUAUAUAAGAAUAUGUAUUAUACGAAUAAGGAUCGGCUAACUCCGUGCCAGCAGCCGCGGUAAUUC